rnacentral:rRNA from 1 species
AUGGGUACCUCCUCCCUGAGUCUCCACCACCCACCUCCCCUCCUCCUCUUGCUCCGCCUCCUGCUCCUGCCAUUCGUCACCACCCAAACCAUAGUCAACAUCACCAACCAAUGCCCAUACACUGUAUGGCCGGCCGCUCUGCCGGAGGGUGGCGGCAUGCGGCUGGACUCAGGGAAGACAUGGACCCUCCAGGUGCCUUCUGACACCCGUGGAGGAAGUGUGUGGGCGCGCACAGGCUGCUCGUUUGACGGCAAAGGCAAUGGGUCAUGCCAGACAGGCGACUGCGAAGGCUUGCUCGCCUGCAAGACAUAUGGCCAGGCACCCAUCACGUCUGCUCAAUUCUCGCUCAACCAGUAUAACAACAACAGUUUCUUCGGUAUCUCCCUCUACCAGGGCUUCAACGUACCAAUGGAGUUCUUGCCAAUGCCGGUCAAGGGGCAAGGGGGAUCAGGGUGCACAAAGGGGCCGCAGUGUGGGGCCAACAUCACGUCACAGUGUCCGAGCGAGCUCAAGGUGCCGGGAGGCUGCAACAGCGCAUGCGAUGUGUUCAAAACUCAGUCCAAUUUGUACUGCUGCUCUAUGACACCCUGUGAAUCCAACAAAUACUCGGCCUUCUUUGUGCGGAUGUGCCCGGAGGCAAUAAGUUACUCCAGUGAUGCUGUCACGGAAACUUCAUUCAGUUGUCCAUUGGAUACCAACUACCAGGUCAUCUUUUGCCCACCAAUCAAUCUAACGUCUUCACCUCCAAGUCCUCCUAACUCAGCUGAUCUUAGGCCACUACGCAAAGGACCCUCAGUAGGCAUUUUUGUUUCAGUUGCAAUUGCAGGUGCCAUAGUUUUAAUUAUCACAUUCAUCUUUUUCAUCAUACGUCGAAGAAGAACACGACGACACCAGGAGAUGGAGGAAGAGGAGGCAGACUUCAGUCAGCUACAAGGAACGCCAAUGAGGUUUACGUUUCAACAGUUAGAAGCAGCAACAGAGCAAUUCAAGGACAAGCUCGGGGAAGGAGGAUUUGGGUCUGUUUUCGAGGGGCAGCUAGGCGAGGAAAGGAUUGCGGUAAAACGUUUGGAUCGAGCUGGUCAGGGGAAGAGAGAAUUCUUGGCGGAGGUUCAGACAAUCGGCAGCAUUCAUCAUAUCAAUCUGGUGAGGCUGUUUGGUUUCUGUGCAGAGAAAUCCCAUAGGCUCUUGGUUUAUGAGUAUAUGCCAAAAGGAUCCUUGGACAGGUGGAUCUAUGGUCGACAUGAAAAUAGUGCUCCUCCGUUAGAAUGGAGGGUGCGAUGCAAGAUUAUCACUGACAUAGCUAAGGGUCUAUCUUAUCUUCACGAGGAUUGCAUGAAGAGAAUUGCUCAUUUGGAUGUCAAACCACAAAACAUCCUCUUAGAUGACGACUUCAAUGCUAAACUCUCUGAUUUUGGUCUAUGCAAGCUCAUUGAUAGGGAUAUGAGCCAAGUGAUUACAAGAAUGAGAGGCACACCUGGAUAUCUCGCCCCUGAAUGGUUGACAUCACAAAUCACGGAGAAGGCCGAUGUCUAUAGCUUUGGCGUUGUGGUCAUGGAAAUCGUGAGCGGAAGAAAGAACCUCGACACUUCCCUGUCUGAAGAGAGCAUCCAUCUUAUUACCCUAUUGGAAGAAAAGGUGGAGAAGAAUCAGUUGGAAGAUUUGAUUGACAAGAGCAGUAAUGACAUGCAAGCACACGAGCGAGAUGUAAUCCAGAUGAUGAAGCUAGCGAUGUGGUGUUUGCAGAUUGACUGCAAAAAAAGGCCUAAAAUGUCCGAGGUAGUCAAAGUCUUGGAAGGUACCAUGGAUGCAGAGAGCAACAUAGAUCAUAACUUUGUCGCAACAAAUGAACCAAAUUUCAGUAUUGCUGGAAAUGUGAACUCUUCAGCUCCACCUGUAGCCUCAGAUGUAUCGGGUCCAAGGUGA